UGUAGCUGAGCGGACUGUGCUUUUGUUUAUUGCCGACCCAAAAAAGAUCGAAGCCUUAUCUGCCAAUUGUCAUAUUCCAUUCCCCCAUUUCCAUGUAGGGUUACGGGUUAGUGUGUAUAUAUACUAUGGCAUGGAGAAUACAAUUACAGCACUACGUAAAAGACUAAUACAAGACAGCGACUGAAAGGAACAAGACUAGCUAGCUAGCUGCUGUUUCUGUUUCCCUUCCAAAAUGAAGUCUGAUGCACAGGAAAGCCAGCCUCCACCUAAAGGAUACCCGACCGAGAACCCCCCGACGGAGAAGAAGAAAUGCUGCAGUCGUGACAAGAAAAAAGGAUCAGAUAGGGGCUUCAUAGAGGGAUGCCUGUUCGCUUUGUGCUGCUGUUGGCUUUGCGAAGCAUGCUUCUAAUCCAUCAUCUUGAAAACGAUAGGGCUCGGAAUAGGCUUAUCAACUUUUGAGAUUUUAUCUCGUCUAAUUAGGGAUUGUUUACAGCUGUAUGUAUACCAUCAUCGAUCUUUCCCCCUUUUUGUUAGUCCUUCUUGGGUUCGUUUGCUGUCGAUCGGUGGAUUUCCAUCUAGUCUAGUACACCUAUUCUCUGUGCGAGCUAGUAUCAUGUUGUAAUACAUAUAUCAAUUAUGACCAGCAUAGUAUCAUAAUUCUACUA